rnacentral:lncRNA from 7 species
UCAACCUUUCUUCACAGGAGAGGUGCUCCAGCCCUCUGAAACUGUGACAGGGGAGGAGAUGAGGUUUUCAAGGGCCUCUGUCUGACUUGUGCCUUUCCCAUAUCCUCCCCAGGGUAGCAGAUGCAGCAUGAGGCAAGCAGACACAAGCUACCUCUACAGGUUCCCAGAACAUGCACUUGUCAAUCAGUAAUAUUGUCUCAGCGAGUAAAGCUUUGAAUAAGGCACUAACUGUAGCAUUCCUGGGGAAGAAUAAUUAAAAAACACAGCUGCAUCUGAUAGCAAGAACUAGGUGAAAGGAGAGUUUGCUCCAGUGGGAAGAGGGCAUUUAGGAUGGCAGUUGGUGAGACUUCCAGGAUUCAGGAUGAUGCCCUGGCAUAAUCUCCCAGCACCCAAGACAACAGUCUUCAUGGGGUGCCAGUCUGUACUACAGUUCAUCCAGCAUUUGAAGAACUGCUCACAGAAAACAUUCCUUAGAAUUUGCAGGGCUCCAUUUGCUUAGUGAAGGAAGCCAAAUAAGACCUUCCUUCCCUGCUGAAACCAAAGCAGCAUUCCCAGAAGCUGCAGUGUUUGCAAGGAGAGAGGGGAAACAAGUAGUGCCAGACUGUUUGAAGCCAAUGCUUGACCUGAUACAGAGUGCCAUCUUGCAGUAACGAAGGAGGCAUCAGAAGAAGGUUCAAGAAAUUUCUUACAAAGGAACUUUCUUCCUUUCCCACAGCAAGGUCAAGCUGGCCCUUCUUCCCAUCCAGGCUGCCUGCAGAGGUGAAGAUCUGACCACUUCCCACCACAACACUCAGGAAAGAGAUGUGGCUAUCUGCAUCAUACUUAUACACAUAAGUAUGCACAGAAAAUAGAAAAAAAAAAAAACAGAAUUGGUAUAAUGUUUCAGGCACAUCUGUACCCUUACUUGGAAUAUUAAAUUUGAUUCAGUUCAUCUUUAUAAAGAAAUAAAAGAGUGGGCUUCUUAGAAUGGAAUUUUCAUUGCUCUGGUGUUUCCUGGUACAGAGAAUUAACAAAGGAUGUAAAUUAUUUUAUUGGAUGUGUUUUGAACCUCCUCUUUAGUGUAUAGGGCAAUACCCAAUCGACCUUUCUGAUUUGUAUGGCUAGAACUUCACUCCUAGGAAGGACAGGUGCUUGUUAAUUUUUGUUUUGUUGGCCAAAAAUUUUCAUGUUAUGAUGCUUCUCUUCCAUAAACAAGCAUAAAAGAUUC